GCGCUGGUGUAGCUCAGUGGUUACUUCCUACAACAAACCCGACCGGGUUUCCUGUAUCAUCCCAGCCGGGAUCAAACCACGGGCGCUGUCCAGUGUUUUU
ensembl:vault_RNA Vault Vault RNA